GACGAACGCUGGCGGCGUGCUUAACACAUGCAAGUCGAACGGAAAGGCCCUGCUUGCAGAGUACUCGAGUGGCGAACGGGUGAGUAACACGUGGGUGAUCUGCCCUGCACUUCGGGAUAAGCCUGGGAAACUGGGUCUAAUACCGGAUAGGAGCCAUUUUUAGUGUGAUGGUUGGAAAGUUUUUUCGGUGUAGGAUGAGCUCGCGGCCUAUCAGCUUGUUGGUGGGGUAAUGGCCUACCAAAGCGGCGACGGGUAGCCGGCCUGAGAGGGUGGACGGCCACAUUGGGACUGAGAUACGGCCCAGACUCCUACGGGAGGCAGCAGUGGGGAAUAUUGCACAAUGGGCGCAAGCCUGAUGCAGCGACGCCGCGUGGGGGAUGACGGCCUUCGGGUUGUAAACUCCUUUCGCUAGGGACGAAGCUUUUUGUGACGGUACCUAGAUAAGAAGCACCGGCUAACUACGUG
rnacentral:rRNA from 1 species